CACACACACACAGAGGAAUAAAAUUGGCUUGUACAUGUUGCAUACAGCAUACCACUCAGGCAGUACUUUAAUCAGAAGAACUUUAAGAGUUGUAGAUACCUUACAGAAUUAAGUCAUCUAAAAUAUAUGAAGGACAGGGCUCUUUAAGUGCAGGGCAAGCUGGGAAAUACUCCCAUGCCUCAAAACAGCAGUGUCCCCAGGAGGGGGUUCAGUAGUGGCCAUGCUAGCAGACUACUGGCCUGAAACUUACUAUGGGAGAUUUGAGGAACGCUGAGGAGCAUUCACAACAAUUUGCCGUACAGUCGACAGACUGGUGAAGCUCUGAAUGUGGACCCCUGAAUGAAGUAAGACUUGCAGCUGACUGUGCACACGAGUGAGCACACCCGUGACAGAUACGGAUACUAUGGAUACACACCUGCUAAGGACUGGACUGAGAUCCUCCAACUUUGUCAUAUCAACUGCGGAACAGAUGAGCCACACCACACUUCAAGCAACACAUUGCACAGUGAGAGAGCAGCGGAGGAGAGGCUGUGACCCCAGCGUCUUGAUAACCUCUGCGCACCUAGGAGAGGAACCGCGGCGGUGUGUUCAGCGUACCUCCGUACCAGGACUGCCAUUCCCCGCGAGUCGGGACCUUGUCAGGGGGUGACUGGGAAGGCAAACACUGCUUAUGUUCAUAGCAAGCGUAUGAAAUCCUUGGAGAGGGAGAGUACAAGAUGAGAAGGGUACAUUAAAAUCUGACUGUGCAGGCUUGCGGAGACCGGCUCCGACUGAUGCCUGUGAGCUGUCUGAAGCCCACCUGGGACUAAGCGUACUGCCUUCCUUGAACCCUCUUUCAAGACUCACCGUAAAACUCAUGACAAAUACUUACCGAAGCUUUGGAAUAACUUCAGCGCUCUCCUCUUCUUUUUCCCAGUGAAGAUACAGUACCAGUGCCCUCUGUUUAUAUUAAAGGAUAUUACCUCCUAGAAGAGAUAGAAAGGCAACGCUGAACUAACCAAAGCACCCUUUGGUGCCUUCUUCAGGAUUUGUGCUGCUAUCUCCAGGGUCCUGGGGAGGCUCCUGCCUGGGAGUGAAAUCACCUGGCCAGUAUUUGGCUCCCCGAUACCUGCUAAACACAAGCUCUCCCCACACCUAUGAAGCCCACUUUUCACAGCAAGGUCUGACCUGGACGGAGUGGCUAUUUCACUGGAAGGAAGGGGUAUUUGGACUAGGGGUGGGAAGCGGCCACGCUGCCAAGCGACAACCUCUGGAGCUGCCUGAGCGGCCAGAAACCCCCCUGCACAAGGCGAGACUGAUAAAACUCAACCCCUCAGUGACUGCGCACAGCCCAGUCACAAGGACCUAACGUAAAACCAGUCCCGUCAAGUCAGAGGAACCCGUCUGGCCCAGCAGCCUGUUUCCAUCGGUGGCCAAGAGCAGAUGCCUAGGGAAGAGCAACACAAACGCAGAGUGAUGCCCCCUCGGGAGAUUCUCCUGGGAUCCAGAGAUGUGUAACUCAAUUUCCUGAGCCACAGUCGCUGUCCUUCGGUGGGCAUCCUUGCUGCUGUGGGUGUGCCCGAUGUCUUUUUGCCCACUCACCAAACAUUAGCAUCCACCACGUCCCACGGCCACGCGUCCCACCAGUACUUCUUGCUUGUCUGAAUCUG
ensembl:lncRNA